CCUACGGGUGGCAGCAGUGGGGAAUCUUGCACAAUGGGGGAAACCCUGAUGCAGCGACGCCGCGUGAGCGAUGAAGCCCUUCGGGGUGUAAAGCUCUUUCGGCCGGAACGAUGAUGACGGUACCGGCAGAAGAAGCUGCGGCUAACUACGUGCCAGCAGCCGCGGUAAUACGUAGGCAGCGAGCGUUGUUCGGAGUUACUGGGCGUAAAGCGUGCGUAGGCGGUGUCCUAAGUCUGGUGUGAAAUCUCCCGGCUCAACCGGGAGGGUGCGCCGGAAACUGGGAUGCUGGAGUGCGGGAGAGGCAAGCGGAAUUCCUGGUGUAGCGGUGAAAUGCGUAGAUAUCAGGAGGAACACCUGUGGUGUAGACGGCUUGCUGGACCGCCACUGACGCUGAGGCACGAAAGCGUGGGGAGCAAACAGGAUUAGAUACCCGUGUAGUC
rnacentral:rRNA from 1 species